CUCAUGUUUCGCUUCGAGGGCUACUUCGACGCCACUCAGAUAAGAGUGCAAACGAUCAAACAUAUCGUUAACUAUUUCGUCGCGAUUCAUCCUUGUACGAUAAAUAUCAACCACAUAGAACUCGAUGGGCUUGGCAGAAGCGAUCCGGUCUCUUAAUAAAUCUAUUCUGACCGAUACAGCCUUAUUGAAGAAUAUUUUAUUGAAUAAAGGUACAGACAUUCUUCAGAAAGAUUUUAGAAAUAUGUGAUAAAUAUCUACUUUUCAAUCGAUUAUUUUAAACACUGCACUCAAUUUUGAUGGAAGCAAUUACAUAUAGCUCCUACUAGAAACGUAUUAGUUACCCGGAAAAGGAAAUAGUAAAACAAUUGCUGACCGCCAAACAGGCAUACCUGUAAAAUACUUUAAAGUCGUGUGUUUCAUUCAGAAGGCACAAAAACUUGAUCGCUUAUGACUGCCAUGUUUGAUGUCAUUGGUGAAUCAUCGUCAACCCAGAAACCGAUCAAUCAUAUAAUAAGGUCUGGCAAAAUGGAAUAAUUUUCAAUGUCACCAAUAAACGCUAAAAACAAAGUAUUGAUUCCCAUCAUCAAAGAAGAAACCCGGAUAUCGUACAAACAUCGAUAACUGAAUUAUUGAAGUCAAAACCAUGACAUCGAAUACAAAAACCUCGAUAUUUUCAAUAUUGUCGAUAUGAAUGUCCUAUCGGUAAUAGUCAAAGAUCCCAUCGUAAAAAUUUAUCCUUCAUCGAACAUCAUAAUAAUUUACUUAAAAUUGAAAAACAAGUUUUCAGUCAAACAUGAAAACGUUGGUGCUCCUAAGAAUAUCCUGAGACGAUUAUGGCAAUUAAAGUAAUUUUGACAACGUAAGAAGGUGCAAAACUGUAAGGACUGUAAGUUGACGAACGGUGCCCGGCAAUGAUGUCAAAAUUUAGUUGUUUUUAAGAACACAGACGGUCUGGUGCAUUUCUGUUGGUCAUAUUCAGCUAGUUUAGCAAAGCAGAAUUCAGAAGUUAUCUUUUUAUAAUGCUAGGUCUCCAAAUAAAGUAACCGGAGUGUCCA